rnacentral:rRNA from 1 species
CCUACGGGAGGCAGCAGUGGGGAAUUUUGGACAAUGGGCGCAAGCCUGAUCCAGCAAUGCCGCGUGCAGGAUGAAGGCCUUCGGGUUGUAAACUGCUUUUGUACGGAACGAAACGGUCUGCUCUAAUAAAGUGGGCUAAUGACGGUACCGUAAGAAUAAGCACCGGCUAACUACGUGCCAGCAGCCGCGGUAAUACGUAGGGUGCGAGCGUUAAUCGGAAUUACUGGGCGUAAAGCGUGCGCAGGCGGUUAUAUAAGACAGAUGUGAAAUCCCCGGGCUCAACCUGGGACCUGCAUUUGUGACUGUAUAGCUAGAGUACGGUAGAGGGGGAUGGAAUUCCGCGUGUAGCAGUGAAAUGCGUAGAUAUGGNGAGACGACGA